AGGGAAUCUUCGGCAAUGGACGGAAGUCUGACCGAGCAACGCCGCGUGAGUGAAGAAGGUUUUCGGAUCGUAAAGCUCUGUUGUAAGAGAAGAACGAGUGUGAGAGUGGAAAGUUCACACUGUGACGGUAUCUUACCAGAAAGGGACGGCUAACUACGUGCCAGCAGCCGCGGUAAUACGUAGGUCCCGAGCGUUAUCCGGAUUUAUUGGGCGUAAAGCGAGCGCAGGCGGUUAGAUAAGUCUGAAGUUAAAGGCUGUGGCUUAACCAUAGUACGCUUUGGAAACUGUUUAACUUGAGUGCAGAAGGGGAGAGUGGAAUUCCAUGUGUAGCGGUGAAAUGCGUAGAUAUAUGGAGGAACACCGGUGGCGAAAGCGGCUCUCUGGUCUGUAACUGACGCUGAGGCUCGAAAGCGUGGGGAGCAAACAGGAUUAGAUACCCUGGUAGUCCACGCCGUAAACGAUGAGUGCUAGGUGUUGGGUCCUUUCCGGGACUCAGUGCCGCAGCUAACGCAUUAAGCACUCCGCCUGGGGAGUACGACCGCAAGGUUG
rnacentral:rRNA from 1 species